UUGACUGAAACCAAAAAGAGGUAUAUUAUUGUUAAUAAUAAAAUUGAAUUAAAAUUCCAGUUAAG
rnacentral:tRNA from 2 species